rnacentral:lncRNA from 1 species
CGAGCGUCCUGCGCCGUGCGUGACUCUAACGCAACACGGCAGUUACGUCGCAAUAACUAGACUUAUCUCCACUGCGCUGCGAUAAGUCAGCGCUUAUUGACUCCUUACUGCCGUGUAGCGUUACAAACCGCCACGGCCCCAAACGAUAAUCCCAAUCUCUCAAACCGACAAUAGCCUCCACUCAUGCCUCAAGCGGCCUAGCAACUCAUUCGUGGCCCUCAGCGGCCUCCUACCUCCGGCCUCGCAGCUCCCGAUACCCCACCAAGUCCGCCGUGCCCGCCCCAGCCCGCCCGUGUUGAGGUUGCACUAGUGGCCGAAAGUGCUGCCAGAGUUUGGUAGUAGUCCUCAACGCGGGGAGGUCAUGGUGCGGGCGACGGCAGCCCUGGUGGCUGGGCUUGAUUGGCUUCGCGUAUGCAGCUCUUCUCGCAAAGCGCUCGGCCCAACGGCCGGUCACGCAAACCAAGGUGCGGUCGGCGGUGAUGGCGGCGGCGUUCGUGCCCUUGCGCUACCGAAAUCAUGUGUCUCGAACACCGCGGAGCGCUCCGCCCAUCGCCUUGCUUGCGCACGAACGUACGGUCCUAGUUGCACACUCGACAGCGGUCGAUAGAACGAGCUUCGUGCUUGGGGAUAUUGGCUGCACGAGCAGCACCAUCACAUGGGGAUGAGCGCCGCCGGAGGCGCCGCCGGCACCUGCUGCAGGCGGCGCAGGGCGACGCCAACGCGGGGCCUGACAGCGCCACACUCCGUCGGUCAUGGGCGGUCAAUGGUCACUACCAGAAGACAAGCAGCAAUAGGAACACGACUGGCGUUGCAAGGGCCAUGAUACCAGACUCACAAACGUAUCAGGUGCACCAAUGGCCACGACAGAAACACACAUGCAUUGUCCCGCGUGCGCCAGCCACGCAGACGACGCCGGGGCGUUACAGGGAAACACAUGCAUCCUUGUUCAGGUGUGUGGCUUCUGGGCAGCUGUGGCCGUCCGUGUGCCUAGGAAAGGUAACAGUGCGUGUUGGCACGUGUUGGCACGAAGCACUGGAGACCUCGCUCGGUACUCUCUACCGGCCCCCAGGGCCAUGCCAUAACACGUGUUGACGUUGUAGGCUGCUCGGAACAACCUUGGGAAUAAUAACAACUUCGUGACUCGAAGCUGGGACAGACUAGCCAACAUGAGCCACGCAGGAGAAGGCGCGAGGUGCAACACUAGAGCGGUUUUACGUACGCGAGUCACGCGCGGCAACCUGCCCUUCACCCGCGCCGUCGUGGUGUAGGAUGCGGGCAGCCAUGCCCAGCCGUGCAGCAUGGCCACGAACACUAAUUUCUUUCUUGCUAGCUAGGUGCCAUGCUUGAGAUUUGCAGUGUCUUGCAUAAGAGUCACUACCAAUCAAGCAGUAGGUACACCCAUAGAUAGCAUCACCCCGGCGGACGCAGGACAGGCGCGCACGUGAAUGCCUCCAAACGCCGCGGGGAUGCAUGCACACAAUGUCCCGUACGUGCCGAUACCGUACGCCACGGCGGCUGUGGGGUGUACCGUAAUAGCAGGGAGGGCAACAUGAAGGGUAACACCUCAGCAACCCCAGCAAGGCUGGCCUGGUCGAGCGGCGCGGAGGGGUGAAGGAUACCCGGCACGCGUGGAACACGCAAUGUAUCUAUAGUGAUAGAAGGCGUAGUGAUGGGAGGAAAUAAGGAGCACUCGGGGCCGCGAUGGCGGGUUGGAUGCGCCACGGGCCCCGGCCCAGCCAAAGGGAGCGAACGCCGGGCGGAGCCGGUGGGUGAGCGACUCGAGGGACGUGCCAGUAGUGAACCCAUCGCAGUGGCGGAUGGGUCAUCCAAUGUGAGAGAUGAUACAGCCACGCCGGCAGCCAAACUCCGCACUCGCCCACGUACGGGCACGUUGUGGUACUGCUGUGAGGAGGCCGGGCUGAGUUGGGAUGCCUGCCGACUGCCAAGCCCGCAGGGCACUGUCGGCCUGGCUACCCACAUGUGAGCCUGUGUCGCCAUACGCUCUUAAUAGUAAUGACAUAUAGCACACUGCUCCUAGCACUUCGGUGAUAAGUAAUUGCCCCGCCGGGUGAAGUAAGGCCGGGGCUGAAAGGAACCAAGGCUGGUUCCCUAGGCGUCCACUGGCGAGUGGGCAGGCGACACAUUCAGUUGGCAUUGACGUGCAGGGGUUCCUGUUGACGUGCGUUGCGGAACUAAUGCGUACGUUGGCUUGGGUCUCUGGGUUCAUGAGGCAUUGACAGAACACGCUGCCCCUGCUAUGGUUCUGACCAAGGAACAUGUAUGCAUACAUGUCCUGAAGGAUUGGCAGGGAGCGUGCCGCACAGCACGCAAGCCGCGUGACUACGGUAAGCAUGACGCCAUAACGUGACACAGAUGCCGGGCAUGCCAUACAGGCGGCCAACGCUACGGCACAAGCCAGCUUGACGCGUCCACAGAUACAUAUGCGUCAUGCGGUAUUGUUAUUGGCAAUAGCAUGCUGGCCGAACUGCACAAAACUCCACAAUUCGGCACUUGGGCCUAGCGCACACAUCGAAUGCAUAUAGGUUGGCUUGGGGUGCGUCAGCCAAACUACAAUGGUGAUGCCGCGUGAUAGUAUGAUGUGCGUGCGGACCUCAAGACGUACAGGGUGACGCAUGAUCACGUAAGCCCGCUCCGUUGUCAACACGAAGCAAUAGCGAGGCGCAGGCUUGCCGUGCACGGCACACUCAAGGCGUAUUGCGACAGGGCACGCAGCAGGGCACGCAACAAGUCGAAGCGUCCAUAACGACAGGGCAGGCAGCAUAAUUGCAUGCGGCACACGGGCAAUAUCGCAAGACACAUGAUGCGAGGCGCAAAGCCUGUUGCUGGCGGCACACACGCCGUAUCCGAACGUGGCGCUCAGACCACACAUUGUCCACAACGCAAAGGCAUGUACAACGAAGGCACGUAAGCAUUUCAAUGCCGUCUAUAAUCCACAACGCAAGAGUGUGGAGCCCGUUGCUUGCGGCACACAGGUCGUAUCAUAAGGGCACGUAUGCCAUCUAUUACCCAAAAGCAAGGGUGAGCUGUUGCUUGCGGCACACAGGUCACAUCAUACGGGCACGUAUGCCGUGAAUUGUCCAUAAAACAAGGGUGCAGAGCCCGUUGCUUGCGGCGCACAGGCCGUAUCAUAAGAACACGUACGCGGCGCAUUGUCCAUGAAGCAAGGGCGCGGAGCCCGUUGCCUGCGGCACACAGGCCGUAUCAUGAGGGCACGUACGCCGUGAAGUGUCCAUGAAGCAAGGGCGCGGAGCCCGUUGCCUGCGGCGCACAGGCCGUAUUAUGAGGGCACGUACGCCGUAAAUUGUCCAUGUAGCAAGGGCGCGGAGCCCGUUGCUUGCGGCGCACAGGCCGUAUCGUAGGGGCACGUAUGCCGUCCAUUGUCCGUGAAGCAAGGGCGCGGAGCCCGUUGCCUGCGGCACACAGGCCGUAUCAUAAGGGCACGUAUGCCGUCCAUUGUCCAUAAAGCAAGGGCGCGGAGCCCGUUGCUUGCGGCGCACAGGCCGUAUCAUAAGGGCACGUAUGCCGUCCAUUGUCCAUAAAGCAAGGGCGCGGAGCCCAUUGCUUGCGGCACACAGGCCGUAUCAUAAGGGCACGUAUGCCGUCCAUUGUCCAUAAAGCAAGGGCGCGGAGCCCGUUGCUUGCGGCGCACAGGCCGUAUCAUAAGGGCACGUAUGCCGUCCAUUGUCCAUAAAGCAAGGGCGCGGAGCCCAUUGCUUGCGGCACACAGGCCGUAUCAUAAGGGCACGUAUGCCAUCCAUUGUCCAUAAGGCAAGGGCGCAAAGCCCGUUGCUUGCGGCGCACAGGCCGGAUCCCAACGGCACACACGCCCUUUCCCCAAGGGCACGCGGGCCCUGCGGCCUGGAUAGGCAGACAGGAGAAGUACCGCGCCAAAAGCCCUGAGGUCUUGGGGAGGUGGGGGUGGCACGAUGGAAGAUGAAAGGUAUUGCACAAAGCUGUGAACUGUAAAGCGACGGGUAGACACGAAGGCACGGCAAGCAGGACCGCGCAUGGCAAGCAAGUAGCCCGCCCGCACAGCUGUGCAUGCCCUUUUGCUUUCAGUGACUUGCCGAACGCCUUGUCCGCAACGCUUCGCGCGCCUUUGCUCCGCUUGAAAGCUCCGCUCUGCUCCGAUUUGCUCCCGAAUGCGGCCCCCGAACCAAAGCGUGGUCCAAAGCGCCAGAGAAGCGUCGAAGGGCAUUCCCUUACGAUCAGAGAGCGAGCGUGAUCAAGCUAAGGGGUUCCAUUGAGCAGGAUCGCGCAACAAAGCGCUGCAACUCCGUCUGAGUGUAUAUUAAACGCUUAUUCGGUCCAGACAUGGUAAAGUAUAGUUAGAACCAGGUAUAGGAUUGCAAAGAAAGUCCAGAAAUGUAGGGAACGUUUAAGUGCGACACACUGAGGUCACCGUCCCGGCAGAGGGACGAUCCGAAAUACAGUACAGAAGCACAACGGCAGAUAAGGCGCCGUGUGCUCCUGACGCGUACAAGACCCAGCUCGGUUCGGCCCCAUGCACAGGCACGUACCCGAGCGUCCUGCGCCGUGCGUGACUCUAACGCAACACGGCAGUUACGUCGCAAUAACUAGACUUAUCUCCACUGCGCUGCGAUAAGUCAGCGCUUAUUGACUCCUUACUGCCGUGUAGCGUUACAAACCGCCACGGCCCCAAACGAUAAUCCCAAUCUCUCAAACCGACAAUAGCCUCCACUCAUGCCUCAAGCGGCCUAGCAACUCAUUCGUGGCCCUCAGCGGCCUCCUACCUCCGGCCUCGCAGCUCCCGAUACCCCACCAAGUCCGCCGUGCCCGCCCCAGCCCGCCCGUGUUGAGGUUGCACUAGUGGCCGAAAGUGCUGCCAGUACUGGGUGUGUCGC